UGCUCAGAUACCUGACGGAGAACGCCGGAGACAUGGAGCCUCUUUACCGGUGCCGGUGUCUGGCACUGACGGGCAGGGUGGAGGAUGGCGGAGCGGCGGUCCGUCUGAUCAGCUGCUGCUCAGGGGCCAUGAUGGCCGGUUCCAUACUCCCAGAACUGGUUUACUGGACUCUGAACUUGGACUAAAAGGAUUUUCAAUAGGACACUGAUAUCAGCAGAGCAGUCUAUUGUUUGCACUGUAUCAAAUAAAACCCAAAUCACUCACGCGAGGAGCUCAGAGGAUGUUACACCAAAGGACUGGAUGAAUGAAGGCAAACACCUGACAUAUGAUCAGAGCUAGGAGAGGCACCACGAAAUGACGUUUGGUUCUUUUGUGCAAAAAAAAAUCCACAAGGGAAACAUUCAGUUCCCAGGACUUUGUGGGACUUCAAAGCAUCACUGGUUGCAUGCACACAAACCCACUUAAAAGAAUCAUGAACCCAAAAGAGGCAGAAAUGAAUUCAAUGACAGUGUCACAUUUCAGUUUUGUGUAGAUGAGGAACAGUAUGUAUAUAUAAU